GAUGAACGCUGGCGGCGUGCCUAAUACAUGCAAGUCGAGCGAACAGACGAGGAGCUUGCUCCUCUGACGUUAGCGGCGGACGGGUGAGUAACACGUGGAUAACCUACCUAUAAGACUGGGAUAACUUCGGGAAACCGGAGCUAAUACCGGAUAAUAUAUUGAACCGCAUGGUUCAAUAGUGAAAGACGGUUUUGCUGUCACUUAUAGAUGGAUCCGCGCCGCAUUAGCUAGUUGGUAAGGUAACGGCUUACCAAGGCAACGAUGCGUAGCCGACCUGAGAGGGUGAUCGGCCACACGGGAACUGAGACACGGUCCAGACUCCUGAGGGAGGCAGCAGUAGGGAAUCUUACGCAAUGGGCGAAAGCCUGACGGAGCAACGCCGCGUGAGUGAUGAAGGUCCUCGGAGCGUAAAACUCUGUUAUUAGGGAAGAACAAAUGUGUAAGUAACUAUGCACGUCUUGACGGUACCUAAUCAGAAAGCCACGGCUAACUACGUG
rnacentral:rRNA from 1 species